ensembl:processed_transcript 4930511M06Rik RIKEN cDNA 4930511M06 gene
GUAGAAGUUAAGAACUCUUAACUUUCCUUGGCUGCCAAGGCGCAGGCAGGCGACUUGGACUCUACCAGUCAGACACAUCACCUUGAGACUCCAGGAAAUUGGUCUGGGAAUGAGUGAAGAACAACUGGAAGAAAAAGAAGAAAGGCUGAUCUGGCGCACGGAGAGAAAGGGUGAUGGCUUCGCAGUUCCCCGCCCCAUCAAACGAGCAGCAGAACUUGGCAAUUCAGCUACAUGGCUCUGGAUUUAGAGUCAAGGAUACAAAAAAGGAGAUGGUCCCCUCUCCCUCCCAGCAGCAAGAAAAGCCAGUCCAGCCUGGAAGUCCCGCCUACUUGUCCAAUGACUGGCUCCUUUAUUCAUAGGGGAUUGGUUCACAAGAAGUCACCUGAGGAAGACUCACUCCUUGUCCACAACCCUUCCAAGGAGAGCAGAAUUAGCAACAACAUACAAACAGCACCAGGCCCCUCCACAACAGUGGCCUUAUGGAAGCAUAUCACUGUGGGGGCAGACUGAGAUCUCCUAAGCUCAAGCUAAACCCAGUAUGGUAUAUAGUCUUCUUCUGCUGCCUUCAGAUAAAGCUGUAGAAUUCCCAGCUCGUUCUCCAGCACCAUGUCUGCCUGCAUGCCCCGUGCUUCCCAGUAUGAUGAUAAUGGACUGAACCUCUGAAAUUAAGUCAGCUCCAAUUAAAUGUUUGCUUUUAU